GGAAGAACACAACACCAUCUGAGCUUUGCUAAGCUGAAUCUGAUCCAGUCUCUGGAUCCAGCUGCCCAUUUGCAGGAAAUACCAAGGACCGAGGAAGGAUCUCCUACUAUUCGCCUGUGUGGCCACUAAAGUAAUCCUCCACCAUUCCCAGACCUGCCCAGGAAGAUAGAGUAGACAUGCUUCUCCCGAUUCCUCCCACUGAGUACAGCUGGAACCCUCGGCGUUGUAUGUACAGCAGAUGGAAGACGAUGCUGAGAGGUGGGGAGACAGGAGGGCAAACCAGCUAAGGAGUUUGGGGCCCCAGAAACAAUGCCGUGAAAAUCACUCCCUGUAUCAAGCUCCAGGAAGAUUUCAAACUGAAUAAGAAAAGACAAUCAAUAGAUGACAGCACUGAGAUGACAGAGAUUCAGACUUAUCUGACCAGGUUUUAAAAGCACCGUCAUAAAAAUGCUUCGAUGAGCGAUUAUGAACAUGCUUAAAUCAAAUGGGAAAUAGAAACUCUCCAGAAGGAGAGAGAAGAUACAAAAUGAACCAAGUGGAAAUUUAGAAAUGAAAAGUACAGUAGCCAACAACCACCACCAAACCCAACGGAUAGGCUCAACAGCAGAAUGGGGAGGACGGAGAAAGGAACGGUGAACUUAAAGAUCAAAUAAUAGCAAGUAUCCAAUCUGAACAGCAGAGCAAAAACAGACUGAAAAGAAGAAGAAGGGAAAAAACCCCAGCACUUCAAGGACCGGUAGAACUGUAAACAAAGAUCUAAUAUUCUUGCCGGCAGCGUUCCAGGAGGAGAGGAGAAAAAUGGUGAGGCUGAAAAAAACUUUUUUAAAAAAGGUGAAAACUUCCCAAAUUUAGUGAAAGACAUAAAUCUGUAGAUUCAAGAAGCCAAGUGAAACUCAAAUAGAAUCCCCAAAGAAACCCACACCAAGUCACAUCAUCAUCAAACUUCUGAAAACAAAGCAAAGAAAGAACCUUGAAAACAGCCCAAGAGAAACAAAACCUUACCUCUAGUGAGUAGAAGAACAAUUCCAAAGACAACCUUUAGAUCCACCCAUUAUGAAAUACAAUUUUAUUCUACAAAGUGUUUCUCAACUGCUGGGUCUACGGUAUGACCCAGCAAUUACUCUUCUGGGCAUUUAUCCCAGAGAAAUGAAAACUUGUGUUCACAUUAAAAACCUGUACAUAAAUGUUUAUAGCAGCUUCAUUUGUUAAAAACCCCAAACUGGAAGUAACUCAGAUGUCUUUGUACAGGUAAAUAGAUUAACAAACACUGGUAUAACCAUACCGUGGGACACCACUCAACAAUUUAAAAAAAAAAAGGACAAACUAUUGAUACACGCCUGGAUGAAUCUGCAGGGAAUUAUUCUGAGUGAAAAAAGCCAAUCCUCAAAUGUUAUAUACUGUAUGAUUCUAUUUAUAUGACAUUUGGAAAUGACAAAAUUAUGCAAAUGGAAAACACUGGUUGCCAGGGGUAUCUGAAGGGGUUGUCAUGGAAGGGAAGUGGAUGUAGUUAUAAAAGGGCCACAUGAGGGGUCCUUGUAGCUA